UGCCCGGGCCACGCUUCUCUUGUCCUUCAUGUAACAGCCAACGAGUUUGUUGCAAUUGCUGCUGUUGUUGGGAUGACGAGCGCGGAUCCGCUGCAUUCAGACGAUCGAAAUAGCGCUGCUCUGCUUCCAAACGGUGAUCCUCGUCAAUAUUGGAAACCAACUCCUCGAUAUGCUGAUUAUACGCGUCCACGAGCGUAACAACGGCACCAUGGUCUCCCGUUUCCCCCGGGACAUAAUCCAACGCAGUGAGAAACUCGACAGGAUUGCGCACCACAUUGAUGCCGAAGUUCCGACGGAGUUCACACACAAUUUGCCCGAUGAGCCAUCCUUGUCGGAAAUCCACACGCAGGGACAAUUAAUCAAACCAGACGGGGGAAUAUAACUCUUUCCUCCACGGGCAUAGUCAUACGGAGACGGUCGAAGACCACAAUCCACCAUGAGAUGGGACCAUUCAAAUGUUGGUUCAGGCCAUCCAACAUGAGGAUCGGGGUACAUUGGCGGCUGAACAUCGGCCAAGACAUCUGCCAAGACCUGCACCGAAUCCUCCGAGGAACUCGUAGUAUCCUCGUGCGUGAAGGAAUGAUGUGCUGGCACUUUCGGGCGAUACAUUAUAGCGGUAAAAAUCGCAUUUGCGGCCAGCUAAAAGCAGCUUUCCACGCAGAUGAUAUGCCGAAAGAGCAACGAACGCUACUACGUCACUGCGGACUGUCCAAUGGCGAAUACACACCGUCAAUCUAACUAGAGGGAGAUGCCAGGCCGCGUAUGCAGAUUCCUCGAGAGUACAAUCUCCAUCAACAACGGCGUCCCACAACAUCAUGUCACUGCACUCCAUCUGGCGAUACCUCCAGAAUUCCUGCUUAUCAAGGGCGUCAUCGGAUAUUACGCCUUGUGGCCAGAACUGCUCAAUUGGGCGUGCCCAAGCCGGAACUGGGAGAGUUCUGUCUUCUAUAACUGCAGCAGAAGUUUUUGUUGGCUGCGCCGGCCCAAU